rnacentral:rRNA from 1 species
CAGGACGAACGCUGGCGGCGUGGUUAGACAUGCAAGUCGAACGAGAAGCUCCCUUCGGGGAGUGGAGAGUGGCGCACGGGUGAGUAACACGUGAGCAACCUGCCGGGAAGCCCGGGAUAGCCCUCCGAAAGGAGGAUAAUACCGGAUGUGGCACCCUGCGAUUGCAGGGGAAGCUAAAGGAUUAUUCACUUCCCGAGGGGCUCGCGGUCCAUCAGCUUGUUGGUGAGGGUAACGGCCCACCAAGGCGACAACGGGUAGCUGGUCUGAGAGGAUGGUCAGCCACACUGGAACUGAGACACGGUCCAGACACCUACGGGUGGCAGCAGUCGAGAAUCAUUCGCAAUGGGGGAAACCCUGACGAUGCGACGCCGCGUGGAGGAUGAAGGCCUUAGGGUUGUAAACUCCUGUCAAGAGGGAAUAAGCAAGUGAAGGUACCUCUAGAGGAAGGGGCGGCUAAUUCCGUGCCAGCAGCCGCGGUAACACGGAAGCCCCGAGCGUUGUUCGGAUUCAUUGGGCGUAAAGGGUGCGUAGGCGGCGCGGAAAGUCCGGCGUGAAAGGCAGAGGCUCAACCUCUGGACUGCGUUGGAUACUUCCGUGCUUGAGGACUGGAGGGGAGACUGGAAUUCACGGUGUAGCAGUGAAAUGCGUAGAUAUCGUGAGGAAGACCGGUGGCGAAGGCGAGUCUCUGGACAGAUCCUGACGCUGAGGCACGAAGGCUGGGGGAGCGAACAGGAUUAGAUACCCUGGUAGUCCCAGCAGUAAACGAUGUGAGCUUGAUGUGGGGGGAUUCGACCCCUUCCGUGUCGAAGCUAACGCGAUAAGCUCACCGCCUGAGGAGUACGGCCGCAAGGCUAAAACUCAAGGAAAUUGACGGGGACCCGCACAAGCGGUGGAGUAUGUGGCUUAAUUCGAUGCAACGCGAAGAACCUUACCUGGCCUUGACAUGCAUUGUGUCGUCGGUGAAAGCCGGCUAGUCCUGGAAACAGGACGCUUUGCACAGGUGCUGCAUGGCUGUCGUCAGCUCGUGUCGUGAGAUGUUGGGUUAAGUCCCGCAACGAGCGCAACCCUUGUGGUCAGUUACUAACCGGCUUAGCCGGAGGACUCUGGCCAGACUGCCCUGUCAAACGGGGAGGAA